UUAACUUUUCUAAUGUGAACCAUUUUUUGUUUAACUUAAAUACUUUACAAACACCGAAGCAAGUGAGCGCUGACUACUCUUCUGAAGUGAUUUUGGAGAGGGACAUUAUGUAGUUGUAUAUACACUGGUUGACUGACAUGACACCAUGGUAUUCAUAUAAUAUUAUCAAUCCAGGUCAAUUAUAUUAAUAAUGAAUGCAUGUU